ensembl:lncRNA
CUACCACAAACAACUAAACCGUAGCUCGUAGCUCCUCAUCCAGAUGCCUCUUGAACACCAGCAGAAGUACCUCUUCACAAGCUGUCCAUUUCUUAAACAUAGAAGCUGCCUCCCUCCAAUAGACAACCGCUGUUUCCUCCGGGAUUCAUAUUGAUAGUCUCCCUGUGAUCAGAUAGAGCUCCACGUUCUUCAGCAGGGGAGAAUGAACUUACACCUCUUCCUGCAGAACUGAAUCAUCCCUGCUUCUCUCUUCAGACAGCAGUCACAGUUCCAUUUCGACCCCAUUAUCACUGUAGACUCACAGAUGACAUUUUGCAGAGCUGUUCUGUCACUGUUGGGGCAUUAUCUGUUGUUGAUAGGAUGUAGAAGAACAGAGUUUGAAUGUAAAUGUCUGUUGCAGUUACUAUUCACUAGAGGUUUAUUUGGGAUGCAAAAAUUAAAAAUCAAUAUUUGUCAAAAGAUAAAGGAUAAAGUAUUAAAGUCAGCUUUUAAGGACCA